rnacentral:rRNA from 1 species
UACGUAGGGUGCGAGCGUUGUCCGGAAUUAUUGGGCGUAAAGAGCUUGUAGGCGGUCUGUCGCGUCUGCUGUGAAAAUCCGGGGCUCAACCCCGGACUUGCAGUGGGUACGGGCAGACUAGAGUGUGGUAGGGGAGACUGGAAUUCCUGGUGUAGCGGUGAAAUGCGCAGAUAUCAGGAGGAACACCGAUGGCGAAAGCGGCUCUCUGGAAACGGUACUGGACGCUGAGACGCGAAAAGCGUGGG